rnacentral:rRNA from 1 species
CCUACGGGGGGCAGCAGUUCGGAAUAUUCGGCAAUGGACGAAAGUCUGACCGAGCGACGCCGCGUGCGGGAUGAAGGCCCUCUGGGUUGUAAACCGCUUUAGAAAGUGAGCAAACUAUCGGUUGCGAACAGCAGCCGGUACUGAGUUAAGCUUUUAAAUAAGCCCCCGCUAAUCACGUGCCAGCAGCGGCGGUAAUACGUGAGGGGCAAACGUUGUUCGGUGUCACUGGGCUUAAAGGGUGCGUAGGUGGUUGCGUAAGUAAGGUGUGAAAUCCC